ensembl:lncRNA
GGGGCGGGGUGCUGAGAGGAAGGGAGGAAGGAAGGAAUGCCAAUACAUGGACAUAUAAUAGAAGCAACUGGUAACUCGAAUCCCCAGGACCAAAUAGCCAACGGCUGAGUUUCGGAUGGUAUUUCAGAACCAUCCAUUUGAGGGAAACAAAGGAAAAGAAUUUAUGCCUUGGCUCCCACCCCCGCAAUGGUCAGAGGUUGUCCUAUGGGGCACUAACUACCCUGCAUUUGUAGGUUGCACAUGUGUGGGCAUUAGCAGUUCCAUGGCUACUCCCUUGAUAGAGAUGUGCUGGGUAGGAGGAGAGGCAGGGCCGGUCAAGAUGCACCUGAAUGAAACCAGCUGAAGCCCAUGCAGAUUAUUUUUGUGCAUGCUGCUGCUGCUGCUGCUGCUGCUGCUAAGUUGCUUCAGUUGUGUCCGACUCUGUGCUACCCCAGAGACAGCAGCCCACCAGGCUCCCCAUCCCUGGGAUUCUCCAGGCAAGAACACUGGAAUGGGUUGCCAUUUCCUUCUCCAAUGCAGGAAAGUGGAAAGUGAAAGUGAAGUCCCUCCGUCAUGUCCGACUCUUAGCGACCCCAUGGACUGCAGCCCACCAGGCUCCUCCAUCCAUGGGAUUUGCCAGGCAAAAGUACUAGAGUGCGGUGCCAUUGCCUUCUCCGUUUUGUACAUGCAGAAGGUUGCAAAUCUUUACUUCACAAAGGAGUUGAUCCAAAAGUGUAGAGAGGCAGCUGUUUUAUAUUAUCUAAGCUGGCUCUUCUGCUGAUGUCAUUCUCCCCAAAUUUCCUUGGAAAGAUAACCACAAAGGAUACUUGGCUCCUCUCAGGGAGUCGGGUUGCCGAGGGAGCCAGGAGUCAGGACAGGCUCUAAGAACUCUGGGGACCAAAGAAGGAGCCUCCUGACACAUGACUGGAUUUAUAUUUAAAUUUGUUUUUUCCUGCUUUGUUCCGUAUCAGUGACUCAAGAACUAAAAGAGGAAAAAUUAUGACUAGUGACUCCAACAGUGAAAUAU